AUGGAUACCAGCUGUGUUCAGCCUAUCAAGCUGGUCAGUGUCACCUAGGUCCUGGGCAAGACCAGUUCUCAGGGACAGUGCACACAGGUGCACAUGGAAUUUAUGGAUGACACAAGCCGCUCCAUCAUCCACAAUGUAAGAUGCCCUGUGUGUGAGGGCGACGUGCUCCCCCUGUUGGAGUCAGAGUGGGAGGCCCGGAGGUUGCGCUGAGCUUGACUCCUCACUGGGUCUUGGAUGGUGGGUUCAGCCACUUGGCCGAUGGAAAUGGUGUGUCACGAUCUGUGCCUUUAUUUUGUGCCACCACACGUAAAUUGAGCUGCACCUUUAAAUCAAGUGUUUGUGUUCCAAGUU